rnacentral:rRNA from 1 species
GACGUAGGGGGCCAGCGUUGCUCGGAAUUACUGGGUGUAAAGGGUUCGUAGGCGGUGUGGCAAGUCGGGAGUGAAAUCUCUGGGCUCAACCCAGAGUCUGCUUCCGAAACUGCUGUGCUUGAGUGUGGGAGAGGCGCGUGGAAUUGCAGGUGUAGCGGUGAAAUGCGUAGAUAUCUGCAGGAACACCCGUGGCGAAAGCGGCGCGCUGGACCACUACUGACGCUGAGGAACGAAAGCUAGGGGAGCAAGCAGG